ACAGCACUUCUUUUGGUCAACUAAAAGUAAUUUAAACUUCAUCAAUUUCAUCAACUUCAAUCAAGGAUGAAAGUAAAUUUUCUUUACUCAUAAAGUAGGCCUUAAAAAUUAAAGUCGUUUCGAAAUUCGUUAUUUACUUAUUGUUACAUUCUUGCUCAAAGUGGAUGUUGGCUUAGCUGGAACAAAUUGUAAAAGUUUAAUACAAAUUUAUAGUGAUAAAUUUUCUUUCUCUGUGUUGUGCGGUAAUGGAGUGGCUAUUGACAUUUAUAGUAGGCUGUAUUGUUGGCUAUUUGAUAGCCAAAAAUCAUAGAUAGUUUACCUGUUCGUCAAGUUGGCUGUGUCUAAACAAUUGAACAUUGGUGUUCGACAUAACAACAAUCUAAAUUUCAGUUUUCCUCAAAAUUAAAAGGCACAAGUAAUAUUUGGAAAAAAAUACAACUAAAUUUUAGUUUAUCUUAAACGAAAUUAAUUCAAAUCGUCAAAAAGAAGAUGCAGCGUCUUUUGACCUUUCUGGUGGGAGGAAUACUUGGAUUUCUGAUUGCCAAGAAUACACGUUAAUUGAAGUGUAGCGAAGAUAUUCUCAAGAUGAGUCAUCUCCUUUGCUUUGGUUUCGGCAUCCUGAUGGGCAUGUUUGUAUGUCGACGAUGCAGUUCUUCCUAAAACACGCAAGAAUACUGAUGGAUAAUAUUAGAAACUAAGCCCAAGACUCAAAAAUUUUUAGAAAAGAAAUCUCAUACACAAAUGACUGCAAAUUAAAACAAAAUUAUAAUUGAAAA